rnacentral:rRNA from 1 species
GACGAACGCUGGCGGCGUGCUUAACACAUGCAAGUCGAACGGAAAGGCCCUGCGUUUGUGGGGUGCUCGAGUGGCGAACGGGGGAGUAACACGGGAGUAACCUGGCCUUGACUUUGGGAUAACUUCAGGAAACUGGGGCUAAUACCGGAUAGGAGCUCCUGCUGCAUGGUGGGGGUUGGAAAGUUUCGGCGGUUGGGGAUGGACUCGCGGCGUAUCAGCUUGUUGGUGGGGUAGUGGCUUACCAAGGCUUUGACGGGUAGCCGGCCUGAGAGGGUGACCGGCCACAUUGGGUCUGAGAUACGGCCCAGACUCCUACGGGAGGCAGCAGUGGGGAAUAUUGCACAAUGGGCGGAAGCCUGAUGCAGCAACGCCGCGUGCGGGAUGACGGCCUUCGGGUUGUAAACCGCUUUCGCCUGUGACGAAGCGUGAGUGACGGUAAUGGGUAAAGAAGCACCGGCUAACUACGUG